UAUUAAAUCUUCCCCACCAAU
ensembl:piRNA 21ur-4635 ncRNA